UGGCCUCUACUUGUAAGCUAUCGCUGAGGGAUGGGCCUGCGGGCCAUUAGCUUGUUGGUGAGGUAACGGCUCACCAAGGCUGUGAUGGCUAGCUGGUCUGAGAGGAUGACCAGCCACACUGGGACUGAGACACGGCCCAGACUCCUACGGGAGGCAGCAGUGGGAAUAUUGCGCAAUGGGCGAAAGCCUGACGCAGCGACGCCGCGUGGGUGAUGAAGGCCUUCGGGUCGUAAAGCCCUGUCGCAGGGGAAGAAUAAGCAUCGGUAUAAUACGCCGGUGCCCUGACGGUACCCUGCAAGAAAGCACCGGCUAACUCCGUG
rnacentral:rRNA from 1 species